rnacentral:lncRNA from 1 species
CAAGAAUCUGACUAAGAAUGAAGAUGAUGAUGGGCACCCUUUGUGGAUGCAAAGAUCAGUAGAAUAGGUGUCUUGCACCAGAUAGAUUCAAGUGGAAAGAGUGAUGGGUGAUUCAGGAAAAUCCUCAAGGGCCAGGAGACUAAUUAAGGUCAAGUCCUGUGGAGAGCAAAAUCCAGGAGAUGUAUCAUCAUUUGCCAUAUGAGGAAGUGGGGAUUUGCUACCUCAGAUCCCAAAAAAAGAAACUCUUUGCUUUCCAUCUCACUUUGUUUUGUCUAUUGUGUUAGGAUGAUCCUUAUACAUGAAAAAGCUCAAAAACUGACUCAAGAUUCCAGGUUUUGGAAGAGAGCCAUUCAUGCAAUGCCAAAGUACACAUCAAAAUGUGCAACAGAGAGUGUGGAGUGACACCAUCAACUAAAGAACUAGUCAAAGUUCCUACGAGCAUGGCGCCAUACAGCCAAUCUUCCUUCUUGGUUCUCAGUGUCUUCGAGGGUAGCUCAAAGGGUCACUGUCACAGUGACCAUGAAUUGUACAGGAAUCCUGUAG